UACCUGGUUGAUCCUGCCAGUAGUCAUAUGCUUGUCUCAAAGAUUAAGCCAUGCAAGUCUAAGUACGAGCUCUCGUACAGUGAAACUGCGAAUGGCUCAUUAAAUCAGUUAUGGUUCAUUUGAUCGUACAGUUUACUUGGAUAACUGUGGUAAUUCUAGAGCUAAUACAUGCGAGAAGCGCCGACCUCGCGGGAGGCGUGCAUUUAUCAGACCAAAAACCGGCCGCGUCUUCGGGCGCGUUCGCCUUGGUGACUCUGGAUAACUUUGCGGAUCGCACGGUCUAGCACCGGCGACGGAUCAUUCAAGUGUCUGCCCUAUCAACUUUCGUCGGUACGGUAUUUGCCUACCGAGGUUCUUACGGGUGACGGGGAAUCAGGGUUCGAUUCCGGAGAGGGAGCCUGAGAAACGGCUACCACAUCCAAGGAAGGCAGCAGGCGCGCAAAUUACCCAUUCCCGACGCGGGGAGGUAGUGACGAAAAAUAACAAUGCAGGACUCGUUCGAGGCCCUGUAAUUGGAAUGAGUACACUUUAAAAGCUUUAACGAGUAUCCAUUGGAGGGCAAGUCUGGUGCCAGCAGCCGCGGUAAUUCCAGCUCCAAAGUAUAUAUUUAAG
rnacentral:ncRNA from 1 species